rnacentral:tRNA from 1 species
GUGGUUGUGGCUCAGUGAUAGAGCACUUACCUAGCAUGUGUGAGGCACUGAGUUCAAUCCUCAGUGCCACA